GAUGAAGAACGUAGCGAAAUGCGAUAAGUAAUGCGAAUUGCAGAAUUCCAGUGAGUCAUCGAAUCUUUGAACGCACAUUGCGCCCUUUGGUAUUCCGAAGGGCAUGCCUGUUCGAGCGUCAUUAUCACCCCUCAAGCCCUAGGCUUGGUGUUGGACGGUUUGGUGGAGGCCCCCUCGGGGGCUCCUGCCCCUCCCAAAGACAAUGACGGCGGCCUCGUUGGACCCCCGGUACACUGAGUUCUUCACGGGACACGUAUCGGACACAUGGGUUUACGGGACACGGUCUGCCUCCCCUCAGGGAGAAUCUUUCUAAGGUUGACCUCGGAUCAGGUAGGGAUACCCGCUGAACUUAAGCAUAUCAAUAAGCGGAGGA
rnacentral:misc_RNA from 1 species